AAAAUUCAGUGUAUCAGGGAUUUCCGUGUUGUGCCGGAUUCAGCACCCCUGCCGUGAAAAGCACCCCCUUCACGGCAACGCGCAUUUGAACCUUGUCGCCUUUAAACUCACAUUUAACAGCACAGAUACACAGUUUGCGCAACAAAAACGUACACAAAUCAAUAUGAUCCUUAUUCUAUCUCACGUUGUCUCCAGAUAUGUGGGAGUGAACAGAAUAUGUUCAUAUUUACGAGCACUAAUUGGCUGGUUUUGUUCAGUAGGAACGAAGCGUCUGACAUUAUCAUGUUUAUUUUAUGACGUUUCAUCACACGAUGGUGUUUGUUUUAGUGUUUAUUUGUUUAAAUGAUUUUAAUUUUAUUCAUUGACGUUAUAAAUUAAUAUGCAGCUUGAAUCACUGUGGAACGUUUGAGGACCCUGUUGAAAUUAGCGUCCAUUCCUAUUGUCUGUAUAUGUAUUAUGUCUGUAUAU